rnacentral:ribozyme from 17 species
AAGCCGACGAGGAAAAUCCCCACCGCGGGCUUGCCCGCAGGCUCCGCGCACGCCGGUGGCGAGAUGGGGUGACGGCGCUGCAGCAAAUACGCAGCGUCGCACUCGGUGUU